GUGAUUGAUUCAGCCAUACCUACUAAAAUUGGAAUAAUGAAGAGAACAUUAGUAUGGUCCCUAAACAAGGAUGACACAUAAAUUCAUGACGCAUUUCAUAUUUUU